rnacentral:rRNA from 1 species
GACUCUCGGCAACGGAUAUCUCGGCUCUCGCAUCGAUGRAGAACGUAGCGAAAUGCGAUACUUGGUGUGAAUUGCAGAAUCCCGUGAACCAUCGAGUCUUUGAACGCAAGUUGCGCCCGAAGCCACUAGGCCGAGGGCACGCCUGCCUGGGCGUCACACGCCGUUG